GGGGGCGGGGCCGGGGUCACGCCGUGCACGCGGCGGCAUGCAGGGGCCGCUGCGGUUCCGGUGCCCCCCCCCAAGUUCGAGGCGGUGGCUCCCUCCCCCCCCCCAGGACUGCAGGGGCCGACCCUGGGGGGUCCCAGCACUGAACUGUGGCUCAUCCGCACCCACGUCGACUUCUGCCCCAAGAGCCUGGAGGGCUGCACAGUGCCACUGGACGGCUGCAGGCAGCACCAGCCCCCCGGGGACGGUGACAGUGACAAGCAGCUCUACAGGCUGCGGGGGGGUCCCGGGGGGGCCGGCAGCACCCUCCUCCUGGCUCCCAACACCCCCACCGGCCCCCUAACCUGCACCCCCCCUCCAUGGCUGCCUCACCAUCACCGAGAGCUUCAGGCCCCCUCCUGGCAUGCCAGUGACCAUCCAGGUGCCCGACCCACUGCCAGCCAAGAGGAAGAAGAUGAUGAUGAUGGAGACGCUGGAGGCACCCAAGGUGUCAACCCUGGGGAGGGCAGCACCCGGUGAGGGGGGGAGCGCAGGCUGGGACCCCCCCCAGAUGUCGGGGUGGCCCCCAAAGGGCCAGAGGUGCCCAAAAAGAAG